CAGUAGCCACGGUAAUACGAAGGGUGCAAGCGUUAAUCGGAAUUACUGGGCGUAAAGCGUGCGUAGGCGGUGAGUUAAGUCUGUUGUGAAAUCCCCGGGCUCAACCUGGGAAUGGCAAUGGAUACUGGCAAGCUAGAGUGUGUCAGAGGAUGGUGGAAUUCCCGGUGUAGCGGUGAAAUGCGUAGAGAUCGGGAGGAACAUCAGUGGCGAAGGCGGCCAUCUGGGACAACACUGACGCUGAGGCACGAAAGCGUGGGGAGCAAACAGGAUUAGAUACCCCUGUAGUCCCUGUCUCUUAUAC
rnacentral:rRNA from 1 species